CAGCAGCCGCGGGAAUACGAAGGGUGCAAGCGUUACUCGGAAUUACUGGGCGUAAAGCGUGCGUAGGUGGUGGUUUAAGUCCGUUGUGAAAGCCCUGGGCUCAACCUGGGAACUGCAGUGGAUACUGGGUCACUAGAGUGUGGUAGAGGAUAGUGGAAUUUCCGGUGUAGCAGUGAAAUGCGUAGAGAUCGGAAGGAACAUCUGUGGCGAAGGCGACUAUCUGGGCCAACACUGACACUGAGGCACGAAAGCGUGGGGAGCAAACAGGAUUAGAUACCCGCGUAGUCCCUGUCUCUUAUAC
rnacentral:rRNA from 1 species